UGGGGAAUAUUGCACAAUGGGCGCAAGCCUGAUGCAGCCAUGCCGCGUGUGUGAAGAAGGCCUGCGGGUUGUAAAGCACUUUCAGUAGGGAAGAAAAGCUCAUGGUUAAUACCCGUGAGUCUUGACGUAACCUACAGAAGAAGCACCGGCUAACUCCGUGCCAGCAGCCGCGGUAAUACGGAGGGUGCGAGCGUUAAUCGGAAUUACUGGGCGUAAAGCGCGCGUAGGUGGUUUUGUAAGUCGGAUGUGAAAGCCCAGGGCUUAACCUUGGAACUGCAUUCGAUACUGCUUAACUAGAGUAUGGUAGAGGGAAGUGGAAUUUCCGGUGUAGCGGUGAAAUGCGUAGAUAUCGGAAGGAACACCAGUGGCGAAGGCGACUUCCUGGGCCAAUACUGACACUGAGGUGCGAAAGCGUGGGGAGCAAACAGGAUUAGAUACCCGUGUAGUCC
rnacentral:rRNA from 1 species